rnacentral:rRNA from 1 species
GACGAACGCUGGCGGCGUGCUUAACACAUGCAAGUCGAACGGAAAGGCCCUGCUUUUGUGGGGUGCUCGAGUGGCGAACGGGUGAGUAACACGUGAGUAACCUGCCCUUGACUUUGGGAUAACUCCAGGAAACUGGGGCUAAUACCGGAUAGGAGCUUCUGCUGCAUGGUGGGGGUUGGAAAGUUUCGGCGGUUGGGGAUGGACUCGCGGCUUAUCAGCUUGUUGGUGGGGUAGUGGCUUACCAAGGCUUUGAAGGGUAGCCGGCCUGAGAGGGUGACCGGCCACAUUGGGACUGAGAUACGGCCCAGACUCCUACGGGAGGCAGCAGUGGGGAAUAUUGCACAAUGGGCGGAAGCCUGAUGCAGCGACGCCGCGUGCGGGAUGACGGCCUUCGGGUUGUAAACCGCUUUCGCCUGUGACGAAGCGUGAGUGACGGUAAUGGGUAAAGAAGCACCGGCUAACUACGUG